GAAUGUGUUUACAGUUCCAUUUCAUGCACAAUCACAAAUGCAGCACAUCAAUCAAUUUCUUCCAACCAGCGAAUCAAGAAAUCUUGGAGUGGAGAAUCAUUCUGAAAGUAGACCAAAUCCAGGACAUCAUCACAGCAGUGGUCGGAAAAAUGCAGCAAGCCAAGCUGACUUUCAAAAGAUGAUUCGUUAUCUGUUUCUUCAGAGGGGAGGCAGUUUGGGAGAUGGGAAUUAGGACGAUGCUACAGUUACACAGGGCAAAUUUCAG